GAAGGAUGCACGCAGUCGCUGAUACAAUUCGUCGUUAUUUAAUGAACAAAUAAGGCAGUAAACACACGCAUUCAAAGGAGUUGCUGUUAGCCACAACUCACGCCCAUGCGCUCUACACUCAGACUGACUACCAGAGCCAAUAUUCCCCCAACCUGGCUCCUCCCCUUUCUAUGACGUCACACCAAUACAAGAAACAGAUAUUACAGUAUACAUUAAUGCAUCAAAA